AGUAGAAUGGCUGAGAUAAAAUAAGGUGAUAGAUUGUAAAUCUAUUAAGGAGAAGAUUUCUCUUCUACUA
rnacentral:tRNA from 1 species